GAUGAACGCUGGCGGCGUGCCUAAUACAUGCAAGUCGAACGAAACUUCUUUAUCACCGAGUGCUUGCACUCACCGAUAAAGAGUUGAGUGGCGAACGGAUGCGUAACACGUGGGCAACCUGCCCAAAAGAGGGGGAGAACACUUGGAAACAGGUGCUAAUACCGCAUAACCAUAGUUACCGCAUGGUAACUAUGUGAAAGGUGGCUAUACUACCGCUGUUGGAUGGGCGGGCGGGGUAUUAGCUAGUUGGUAGGGUAAAGGCUUACUAAGGCAAUGAUGGGUUGCCCAAUUGAGAGGGUGAUAGGCCACAUUGGGACUGGAACACGGCCCAAGCGACUAAGGGACGGAGCAGUAGGGAAUGGGACGCAAUGGGGGAAAGCCUGAUGGAGUAACGGCGCGCGGGUGGAGGAAGUCUUCGGAUCGGAAAACCCUGUUGUUAGUGGAGAACGGGCUUGGGAGGUAACGUUCACGUAUUGACGGUAUCGAACCAGAAAGCAACGGCUAACUACGUG
rnacentral:rRNA from 1 species